UACGGGGGGGGCUAGCGUUGUUCGGAAUUACUGGGCGUAAAGGGCGCGUAGGCGGCCUACUAAGUCGGACGUGAAAUCCUUCGGCUCAACCGAGGAACUGCGUCCGAUACUGGUGGGCUUGAAUCCGGGAGAGGGAUGUGGAAUUCCAGGUGUAGCGGUGAAAUGCGUAGAUAUCUGGAGGAACACCAGCGGCGAAGGCGGCGCUCUGGGCCGGUACUGACGCUGAGGAGCGAAAGCGUGGGUAGCAAACAGG
rnacentral:rRNA from 1 species